rnacentral:rRNA from 1 species
UGGGGAAUCUUGGACAAUGGGGGCAACCCUGAUCCGAGCCAUGCCGCGUGAGUGAUGAAGGCCUUAGGGUCGUAAAGCUCUUUCGCCUGUGAAGAUAAUGACGGUAGCAGGUAAAGAAACCCCGGCUAACUCCGUGCCAGCAGCCGCGGUAAUACGGAGGGGGUUAGCGUUGUUCGGAAUUACUGGGCGUAAAGCGCACGUAGGCGGACCAGAAAGUUGGGGGUGAAAUCCCGGGGGCUCAACCCCGGAACUGCCUCCAAAACUAUUGGUCUAGAGUUCGAGAGAGGUGAGUGGAAUUCCAAGUGUAGAGGUGAAAUUCGUAGAUAUUUGGAGGAACACCAGUGGCGAAGGCGGCUCACUGGCUCGAUACUGACGCUGAGGUGCGAAAGUGUGGGGAGCAAACAGGAUUAGAUACCCUGGUAGUCCACACCGUAAAACGAUGAAUGCCAGUCGUCGGGUAGCAUGCUAUUCGGUGACACACCUAACGGAUUAAGCAUUCCGCCUGGGGAGUACGGUCGCAAGAUUAAAACUCAAAUGAAUUG